CAUUAAAACACCUGUUCUCGUACGAUCACGGAAAUUAAGCAACGUCGAAUCUGGUUAGUACCUAGAUGGGUGCCCACUUGGGAAAAACAGGUACUGGAA